CCAGUAACAUGGUUCCCUGAUUCCCUUCCAUAUCGGCCUCUGUGCAUCCCAUGUUUGUAUCCCCGCGCCACUUUUCCCAGUGAAUCUGAUCUAUUUUCCUCUCUUAAUCAGGUUCCGUCGGUUGGUUGUGGCGACACCACCUGCCCAGAGCCACCGACCCCUGGUACCAACAUCUGCCAGGUAAGUAGUAAAGGAACUAUUUUAUUUUCUGAGUUAAUUAAUGAUAAUGAGCUACAGAACUAUAGUAAGUUGAUCCCAUAACUAAUCGUAUCGCUCUUCAUCAGGAGGAGCCAGAGCAGGUUGCUGAGCCUGGCGAGGAGAUUGAGGAGCGCCCAGAAACACCCGGGGCUCAGACUCGCCAGGAGGAACCAGCUGACAAUCCCUCCGACAUUAACACCUGUCAGGUAAGUAAAAGGGAAGGGAGACAUAUUGUGAAAAUGGCGCCAC